rnacentral:rRNA from 1 species
GAUGAACGCUAGCUACAGGCUUAACACAUGACAGUCGAGGGACAGGCGGACGGGUGAGUAACACGUAUCCAACCGGUGCUAUACUCGGGGAUAGCGAUUCGAAAGAAAGAAUAAUAUCCGAUAAAAAGGAUAGGGGUGCGUUCCAUUAGGUUGUUGGUAAGGUAACGGUUAACCAAGCCUUCGAUGGAGAGGGGUUAGGAGAGGAAGGUACCCAACAGUGGAACUGAGACACGGUCCAAACCCCUACGGGACGGAGCAGUUAGGAAUACUGGUCAAUGGGCGUUAGCCUGAACAAGCCAAGGAGCGUGAAGGAGGAAGGGUUAUGGGUCGUAAACUUGUUGUAUAUAAGAAUAUGUAUUAGAUGAAUAAGGAUCGGCUAACUCCGUGCCAGCAGCCGCGGUAAUUC